ensembl:misc_RNA Y_RNA Y RNA
GGCUAGUCCGAAAGUAGUGAGUGGUCGCAAGGUCAACCUAAAGUCAACCUGCAGCAAACUAUAAACUAAACUCCUGGAUGUACUUGGAUUUACCUAACUCUCUCACUACUGCACUUGACUAGUCUUUU